rnacentral:rRNA from 1 species
AUUGAACGCUGGCGGCAGGCCUAACACAUGCAAGUCGAACGAGUGGCGGACGGGUGAGUAAUGUCUGGGAAACUGCCUGAUGGAGGGGGAUCACUACUGGAAACGGUCUCUAAUACCGCCUACCAUCAGUUUUUCCCAGAUGGGAUUAGCUUGUUGGUGGGGUAACGGCUCACCAAGGCGACGAUCCCUAGCUGGUCUGUGAGGAUGACCAGCCACACUGGACCUGAAACACGGUCCAGAGGCCGACGGAAGGCAGCAGUGGGGAAUUUUGAACAAGGGGCGAAAGCCGAAUGCAGCCAGGACGCGUGUAUGAAGAAGGCCUUCGGGUUGUAAAGUACUUUCAGCGGGGAGGCGUUACCCGCAGAAGAAGCACCGGCUAACUCCGUGCCAGCAGCCGCGGGAAUUC